AACGGGUAAAUAAGGCUUUUCUGCUAACAUAUACAAUUUUUGAAGAAAGGAAAGCCAGAAAUACCCAAUAUCUUGCUGAAACAAGAUAUUGGGUAUUUCUUUAUUUUUUUAUUCUGAAUCUUUCUAUUCUGAAUUCAGUUAACGACGAGAUUUAGUAUCCUUUCUUGAGUUUUCAUAACUCGUGAAAUGCCGAGUAGGCACGAAUUCCCCCAAUUUGCGACCUACCAUAGGAUUUGUUAUGUAAAUAGGUAUAUGUUCCUUUCCAUUAUGAAUCGCGAUUGUAUGGCCAACCAUUGUGGGUAGAAUGCUAGAUGCCCGGGACCACGUUACUAUUGUUUCUUUCUCCUCCUUCA
rnacentral:misc_RNA from 1 species